GAUGAACGCUGGCGGCGUGCCUAAUACAUGCAAGUCGAGCGAACAGAUGGGGAGCUUGCUCCUCUGACGUUAGCGGCGGACGGGUGAGUAACACGUGGAUAACCUACCUAUAAGACUGGGAUAACUUCGGGAAACCGGAGCUAAUACCGGAUAAUAUAUUGAACCGCAUGGUUCAAUAGUGAAAGACGGUUUUGCUGUCACUUAUAGAUGGAUCCGCGCCGCAUUAGCUAGUUGGUAAGGUAACGGCUUACCAAGGCAACGAUGCGUAGCCGACCUGAGAGGGUGAUCGGCCACACUGGAACUGAGACACGGUCCAGACUCCUACGGGAGGCAGCAGUAGGGAAUCUUCCGCAAUGGGCGAAAGCCUGACGGAGCAACGCCGCGUGAGUGAUGAAGGUCUUCGGAUCGUAAAACUCUGUUAUUAGGGAAGAACAAAUGUGUAAGUAACUAUGCACGUCUUGACGGUACCUAAUCAGAAAGCCACGGCUAACUAUGUG
rnacentral:rRNA from 1 species